UGUAUGUAUAGCACCUCACUGGGCUCUUAUUUUUCUUUCUUUUGCUGUGCGUUCAGACUAGUGUAUGUGUAUCUAUCUAUCGUAACAAAAGACAAAGAAGUUGGGCAAAGGUUUGCGGCACCGUGGUGAACCCCAUGUAACUGGAAGUAAGCAACAUUUAAAAAAAAAACAAACACAAGUAUGUCUUUUCAGAUUGGACCCAACAAGUUAACUGGCUCAAAAUUGUGCUUAAGCAGGCCUUAUACAGCCCAGGCAGGAAGGGGCAGGUCCAGGAGGGAGGGUGGGAUGAAAGAAGUGACGUCAGAAAUGAUAGGCUUGUCAGUCUUCCAUCUUGCAGAGGGAAGAUGAGAGAAGGCAUUGCAGAACAGCGCCAACCCCUGUUUUGGCAGAUGAUGAGCCAAGCCUCACCUCCCCAGGAUCCCAAGACGUGAUAGAAUGUGACCUGCAGGACGUCCGUGUGAUCACCUGGUAUCGGCAGUACCUUGGAUUAAUUCUCUUCACGUCAGAAUGACUCAUUCCUGUGCAACUGAAAAUCCAGUUUUAAUCUACUGCAACAUGUUAUUGUGUGAAGAAAGAAAAUCAAAAGAAGAAGAAAAGGUUGUCACCCUUGGAGAAAGAAGUGACGCGAUCUGCACUCACUGUCCCCGACUCUGUGAAGGUAUUUCAAGCCAGGAGGCUCACCGGCAGCCAUGUACUUAGUCCAACAGAUGUAA